UACGUAGGGGGCUAGCGUUGUCCGGAAUCAUUGGGCGUAAAGAGCGUGUAGGCGGCCCGGUAAGUCCGCUGUGAAAGUCGGGGGCUCAACCCUCGAAUGCCGGUGGAUACUGUCGGGCUAGAGUGCGGAAGAGGCGAGUGGAAUUCCUGGUGUAGCGGUGAAAUGCGCAGAUAUCGGGAGGAACACCAAUGGCGAAGGCAGCUCGCUGGGACGUUACUGACGCUGAGGAGCGAAAGCGUGGGGAGCGAACAGG
rnacentral:rRNA from 1 species